AGGUGAUUUCAAUCAAGUCAGCUGAAAUGCACUCACUUCCAGGAGUUGUAGCUGUAGGGUACAUCAAUGAAGCUAUUGAUGAAGGGAAUCCUUUGAGGACUUUAGAAACUUUGCUCCUACCUACUGCGAAUAUUAGUGAUGUGGACCCAGCCCAUGCCCAGCACUACCAGGAUGUUUUAUACCAUGCUAAAUCACAGAAACUCGGAUAAUCGUGGCUCCUGUCCAGCCUUCCAAGGCAGAAAAGGGGAACUCUUCAAAAGAAUUUGGGGGAGCUCCACGAAAGGUCUUAAUGGUUAAUAAAACUUAAACUUGAAGCCUGACCAUCCCACAGCCUGCUCUUUACAAAAUGCAGCAAGAAUCAGAAAAUACAAAUUUCACAUGAGACUUAAAGGCUAGGGAUAUGCUAGGAAGAAAUUGAUCUGCGGAAACCUUUCACAUCUUGAUUAAAUUACAUUAGACCAAGAUUUUUACAAAGGACUCUGAGAGUGUUUCCAAAGUGCUUUGGCUGGAUGAGAUACAGCAAGCCGUCGAUGAUGCCAACGUGGACAAGGACAGAGCAAAA
rnacentral:lncRNA from 1 species